CAGAACUACACUUUGGUAGGACGCCUAAACGUGUCUCUGUAAAUUAGCAGGAACUGAGAAACAUUUGAAGUGUCCAAGGAGCCUGCUGCCAGUUUGCAUGCCAAACACUGUAACAGAGUUACUUCUGCAUUGGAAAAAAAACAAAAAAAACAAAACUAUAGUUCUUUAAGGAAACAGGGCCGAGCAUCCAGCAGGAAGGGAUUCCUUCAAGCUCAGACAUCAACAACAUCCCGAAUAUUAAAGCCAUAGAGUAAAGUCAGAGGAAUGGGCGCGAGGAUGGAAAUUAUGCCAGACUUACCCUCUGCCAAGGUACAAUAAGCCAGGUUGACAGAGACUCUCCCCGAAAAACAGUGGAUAAGUAAAGACGGGGCCCAGCCAGGCCCAAACAUCCUGACGGAGAGAGGCUUUUCCCUUAUCAGUCAGGAAACACCGCUCCUCCGCCACAUCCUCUUUACAAGAAGCACGACUCAACCAUUCCCAAAAAAUGCAGGAAGACCAGCCAGACUCCAGGAUUUGUCAAAAGCCCCCUGAAUUCCUUUUAUCGAAAAAAGAAAAAUUCAAGAGAACAGAGAGGUUGAGAAGGGGAGGAGUGGAGAGUGGGGGGGGGGUAAAACAGUCAGUUUUUUUACUUAUUUUUCCACAGAUUACGAAAGGUCUGCAUCAGCAAGAUAUAACGUGGGGUGAGGGGGUGGGUGUGGAAGGGGGGGUCCAGCGUGCCGAAGAAUGGCACCCAGAAUAAGACUAUAGGAAAACAAAGGACGGUUGAGAUGGAGGCGGGCGCCGACAAAUGUGCCUGUUUUACACUAAUCCUCUGAACCGGGAUGAAAUGAAAGCGAGAGGAGACGGAUAGAGAAAGAUGAUGUAGGGUGGAAAAAGCCAGCAGGGGAGUGGGUGUGUAGAAUGGGCCUCUCACAGCUAGACAGAGCCUGAAAUAGAAGAAUACACGGUGUGACACUCAAUUCAAAGAUGGAUGUGAUCUUGCUCCCCCCCGCCUCCCCGAUUUGUUCAUGGAGACCAGCAGGACUCCUGCUAUCCUCAGUUUUUUUUUUAUUUAGAAAUCUAAAUGUAUUUAUUAGGACUUAAGUAGCACUGCCUGAACUUACCUUCCGCAGGUGAGGUAUGAAUCUCCUGUUUUUAAGAGAUGUUCAAAAUUGUGCCUUUUAAAAAUCUGCGGGCUCAUUAUCCAAGCAGCAAAUGCCUUAAUAUAAAAAUUGACCUUUAUUUUUAAAUUAUUGUCUUUCACAAACCUAAAUCAGCAUACAGUUACAGUUAGCAUUAUUAUUUUUCAUUGUAGAGGUCGAUUAUAUAUUAUUAAGUACUUGAGAAGAAGUAUAAACGCCUUUCUGUCAUCAUCAUAUACAUCACUUUGUUAAAUUGCAUAAGAAAUGUCCAAACUAAAACCUCAUUCAAUUACAACUACUGAGGUAAGACUCCCAAACUAAUGAGAGCAGGAACAUGAUACAAACAUUCGAAUGGAAA